UGAACGCUAGCGGCAGGCUUAACACAUGCGAAGUCGGAGGGGUAGGUUACUUCGGUAAUUGAGACCGGCGCACGGGUGCGUAACGCGUAUACAAUCUACCUUUACAGAGGGAUAGCCCAGAGAAAUUGGAUUAAUACCUCAUAGUAUUUUUGAAUCGCAUGAUUUGAUUAUUAAAGUUCCAACGGUAAAAGAUGAGUAUGCGUCCCAUUAGCUAGAUGGUAAGGUAACGGCUUACCAUGGCUACGAUGGGUAGGGGGUCCUGAGAGGGAGAUCCCCCCACACUGGUACUGAGACACGGACCAGACUCCUACGGGAGGCAGCAGUGAGGAAUAUUGGACAAUGGGCGCAAGCCUGAUCCAGCCAUGCCGCGUGCAGGAAGAAGGUCCUAUGGAUUGUAAACUGCUUUUAUACAGGAAGAAACACUCCCUCGUGAGGGAACUUGACGGUACUGUAUGAAUAAGGACCGGCUAACUCCGUG
rnacentral:rRNA from 1 species